AUAAAUGCAGAGAAAGAGAGCAUAUCUUACAGGCAGCUUUAAGAGAGUCGGCGGGUGGUGUGAGCCGAUAGUGCAGAGAAGAUUAUGGUAGCUCUGGAGCACCGUCUUUGAAAAAGAGUAGAAGGCGGCGGAUUAACCCCGUUAAAGGUUGAGGCAAGCGCCAAAAGAGAAGUCUUACUGAUUACUGUCAGAAGGCAAUUAGGGUGGUACCGCGAGAAUUACUCGCCCCUGAA
rnacentral:ncRNA from 1 species